GACAAACCCUACCCCUUCAAGCACCUUGUCCUCAAGGUGCGAUUAAGCUUCAAUCCUUCUCUUGUAGCUGAGGCAAGCUUCUUCCUUAUUUGAAAGGCAUCAAGGCAUCCAUCAUAUACUGAUGCAGUACUAGCACACAAGCGUGACUCACUUUCCUCAUCAGUCAACCACAAGCCAAAAUCAAUGACUUCCUUCAGCAACUCAUAUACAAGCACCCCGUUUUUGUGCAACAAAUCUUCAUUGAGUACACCAAAGUAAUCUUUGAUGACACCUGCAAUACUCUGUAGCACUCUGAUAUUAGACCCUUGCUUCAUUCCUCUAUCAAAUGGCUUAAAAACAACAUUAAGUGGCAAAAAGUCAAGCAGUCGAGUUCAAAUUUCUUAGCUCCUAAAGCUUCCAAAACCACGACAGCAGCUUGGGAAAACGUCAAACUAAUGUUGAUCAAGGAGACCACAUCCUCCAAACAUCGAGCUAGCAUACCAUUCCUGUUCGAUUUUCCAUCCUAUUGAGUAAUGUGCAGUUUAUCCUUUGAGAGAAUUGGAGCGAUGGAGACGACGAAAAUAGCAACAACAACAAGUACGGGAACAACCGAGGAAACAGCAGCGGAGAAGGAGGGGGAAGAGCGGGGAACGCGGGGGACAAGAACAGGGAGGAGGCGAUGGUGGUGCUGGCGGAGGCGGGGUGACUCUUGGAGAGCAUGUCAAAUGAUCUGAGGGCGGCGGUCGAGGCCGGGAGGAUCCCGGGAUCGGUGAUCGACCGGUUCUUAGAGCUCGAGAAGUCGGGGCUGUUUUGCUGGUUGAUGCAGUUCGGCGGCUUCAAGGAGCGCCUUUUAGCCGACGACCCAUUCCACGCCGUGGUCGGAAUCGAGUACUGCGUCGGAAUGUUCACCAUGGUGAUCCUUGAGUAAUCAUCAAUGAAAGAUAUAAAGUACGAUGCACCUCCGCAUGAUUUAGUGCGAGACAAGCCCCAUAAAUCCGAGUGACUGCAGUCAAGUAUGCCUUUACCCGUGUGACUCCCGGCCUUGAAGCUUCGCUUAUGAUGCUUCCCAUAGACACAAUACUCACAAAAUCCCUUGUCACUAAGCACAUCUUGGGAAUAAGUUCCCUUUUCAUCAAGAUCUCCAUACCUUAUUCACUGAUGUGACACAAUCUUCUAUAUCUUCUAUGCUAUAACGCACUGGAAAUUCAUCACGUUCUAUCACCAUUUGUGCACCAACAACCGUGCUUCCAAGCAAUUUAUACAAGUUUCCAACCCCUUUCAUGACAACCAAAAUACCUUUUCAGACUGUAAUAACUUCAGCUUGCCCAGUGUAUAUGUAGCCACGAGAAUCGAGCUCUGAAAUUAAAACCAUGGAUAUUUGGGAAAAAGAAUGAUGGAAGGGUUUUAGAUUCCGUGCUCGUUUCUUUUCCUGCCCCUACUGUUUCUCUCCGACCACCACUUGCAACUAGUGCUGGAACAAUUGCCAAGUUCUUCCAUAACUGCCCUGAUAAUGCAUUCCAGGUUGCUCUUGCCGGAACCUCAAAUUCUUUUCUACAGAGAUUAGGGGCUGUGGUGGUAUCGAGUCUUAGUUGGUGUUAUUGAACAGUAGAUUCUGAAUACUUUGCUACACCAUCGCAAACUUAUGCUGAGUGCCAUUUACUCUGCUGCUCAGACAGUUACCUGCUGGUUAAGCAAAGUUCCUUCUUGGCUUACUACUUUUGCACCAGCAGAUGCUCUCACCAUGAAAGAGGAAGCCUGGAAUGCAUUCCCAGAAUGCAAAUCAGGUUACCAGUCUAAAAUUUGUUGCUCGAGGUGAUUUUUUGUUAACUGUCUCAGCAGACAAGCGAACCUGAAUUGCAAAUAUUAAUCUGGGUGCAACCCAGAGGAAAUCAUUAGGUACUGGUUUAAGCUCUGAUGGCAUUUUAAGCUGCAAGUGAAGAUUUAAGCAUUAUUAUCAGAGAGCUAUAUUGGCAGAGUAUUCUGGUCCUGUUCUUGGAGUAUUGUCUGCAAUGUUAUAUGGAUGGAGAGGCCGUGUCUGGAAGAAGUUUUGCUAAGUGCAUUCGACAUGGAAAGAAGAAGAAGAUGGUUGAUAUCAGGAAUGUUAGUGCCAAGAAAAACAAGCACAUCAAGAAAAUUAAGGGGCUGGUUCCAUGCUUUCUUCUCCAAGUAAAAGACGAUGAGCUCUUCGUCUGUUGGGAGGAAUCUGUACCCGGGAGGUUUGUUAAAAAAUUCAGCUUGUUCCUUAGUCUUGUUGU